UGCGUAGGCGGUUACUUAAGUAGGGUGUGAAAUCCCAUGGCUCAACCAUGGAACUGCGCUCUAAACUGGGUGACUUGAGUGAGAUAGGGGUAUGCGGAACUUCCAGUGGAGCGGUGAAAUGUGUAGAUAUUGGAAGGAACACCGGUGGCGAAGGCGGCAUACUGGGUCUUAACUGACGCUGAGGCACGAAAGCUAGGGUAGCGAACG
rnacentral:rRNA from 1 species